AUUGAACGCUGGCGGCAUGCCUUACACAUGCAAGUCGAACGGCAGCACGGGAGCAAUCCUGGUGGCGAGUGGCGAACGGGUGAGUAAAGUAUCGGAACGUGCCCAGUCGUGGGGGAUAACGUAGCGAAAGUUACGCUAAUACCGCAUACGAUCUAUGGAUGAAAGCGGGGGAUCGCAAGACCUCGCGCGAUUGGAGCGGCCGAUAUCAGAUUAGGUAGUUGGUGGGGUAAAGGCUCACCAAGCCGACGAUCUGUAGCUGGUCUGAGAGGACGACCAGCCACACUGGGACUGAGACACUGCCCAGACUCCUACGGGAGGCAGCAGUGGGGAAUUUUGGACAAUGGGCGAAAGCCUGAUUCAGCCAUGCCGCGUGCAGGAUGAAGGCCUUCGGGUUGUAAACUGCUUUUGUACGGAACGAAAAGGUUUGGCCUAAUAAGCUGAGCUCAUGACGGUACUGUAAGAAUAAGCACCGGCUAACUACGUGCCAGCAGCCGCGGUAA
rnacentral:rRNA from 1 species